UACACAGGCUCCACUUCCAUUCAGACGCAGUUGAUACAAACAAUUACACUGCUCCAAUUCAGACGCAGUUGAUGACACAAACGAUUACACACAUGCUCCACAUUCAACGCAGUUGAUGAUACAAAUGAUAUACACAUGCUCCACAUUCCCAUUCAGACAGUUGAUGAUACAAAUGAUUACACAUGCUCCACAUUCCCAUUCAGACAGUGUGAUGAUACAAACGAACACAUGCCCACAUCAGACGCAGUUGAUGAUACAAGUAUUACACACAUGCUCCACAUUCCCUUCAGACAGUUGAUGAUACAAAUGAUUACACAUGCUCCACUUCCAUUCAGACAGUUGAUGAUACAAAUGAUUACACAUGCUCCACAUUCCCAUUCAUAGACAGUUGAUGAUACAAAUGAUUACACAUGCCCACAUCCCAUUCAUAGACAGUUGAUGAUACAAAAUUACACAUGCUCCACAUUCCCAUUCAUAGACGUUGAUGAAUACAAAUGAUUACACAUGCUCACUCCAUUCAGACAGUUGAUGAACAAAUGAUUACACAUGCUCCACAUUCCAUCCAGACAGUUGAUGAUACAAAUGAUUACACAUGCUCCAACAUUCCCAUUCAGACAGUUGUAGAAUACAAAUGUUACACAUGCUCCACAUUCCCAUUCAUAGACAGUUGAUGAUACAAUGAUUACACAUGCUCACAUUCCCAUUCAACAGUUGAUAUACAUUAUUACACAUGCUCCACAUUCCCAUCAUGAGACAGUUGAUAGUACAAAUGAUUACACAUGCUCCACAUUCCAUUCAGACAGUUGUGAUACAAAGUAUACACAUGCUCCACAUCCCAUUCAUAACAGUUGAUGAUAC
rnacentral:lncRNA from 1 species